rnacentral:tRNA from 1 species
GGUAGAAUGAGAGAGUGGUUUAAUCUACUCCUUUGCUAAAGGAGCAAUCCGCAAGGAUUCGUUGGUUCAAAUCCAACUUCUACCG